rnacentral:lncRNA from 7 species
GGCGUUUCCCGCCUUGCCGUCCUGGGCGGGUAGAACGCAGCCCUGGGAGGUCUUUUCGUCCCUCACGUCGAGGGCAGCGCCUCGCUUCCUUCCUGCCUUGCAUCCAGCAGUUGAGCGGCUGCCCAGAGCGUCUGAUUCCUGAUCCAUGACGCACUAACUGAACUCGUUAAGGAGAGCAGUGCAGGCAAGCCAUAGGUUUAGUGUGAUACAAAUGUCAGAUUGCUUUGUUUGCCUUCACUCCUGAUCUGGGACAAGUGAGGAAGAUGAGAAUUGCCUCCAAUCCCUAUCACCGAGGACCAAACCUCUCUUCAGUAGAAUGCAUGGGAGUCUCUCAUAAAGGUAUCACUCUAACAAAAGCAUCAUUUUCUAGUAACUGUACAUGUCAGUUCAAGUACUGCUUGCUGUAAAAAAGCUCUGGAACACAUAUUGGAGCUGCCAUGCUUGCUCCCCUGUGCCCCCAUUUAUCCUGUUCAUUAGUAAAAAAAAAAAAAAAAAAAGCCAUUAUGGAUGUAAAAUGUGAUUUUGUUUCUGCCCUGACAAAUAUCUCCUAUAGUUCCAGAGAGCUUUGGCCAAAACAAGCCAAGUUUUUUCUGUACAAGAGUACUGGAAAAACAGUCUCUGGAAAUCCAGUAUCUCAGAGUAUGAUAUGUACAUGAAAAUGGAUACAGAUAUCUGAAAGGUCAGCACUGUUAAUUAUUCUUUGUUUUUGCAAUGCCCUGUUUUUUUGUUAGCAAAUAAUUACUGAGGGCAUAUGUCGCUGAACUCAAGAAAAUUCGCUGUUGUUUUUUAUGAGAUCCGUCACUGUGAAAGCUCCAUCAGUGCUUCUAGUUAUCGGUUACUACUCUGCAAGAACUUUCAGGAAGCGCCAGAGUGCUUGAAGAAUUGCUUUUUUAAAUAUUUCAGGAAAAUUCAGGCACUUUGAAAUUAAAAAAAAAAGCACAGGACAGUUAGCAUAAGCAGUGCUCUUGUAAUUUGACAGCCAGCUCUUCUCAUGCACUGAAGUACCCUUUUGACACUUUGUGAAUAGUUUAUAUAUUUACUCAUAAGUACGUGGUUCAACCUGUAUAAUUAUAAUUAUUGAUGAUGGUACUUUUGGUUUUUUGUCCAUAAGAAACUUAAAAUGUAUAUUCAUUAUUCGUUGAACUUUUGAAUAUUAUGUUUAUAUUUCUGUGUAGUUCAGAAAGCAUGAACUAGUUUGUUGUUUUUUUUUUUUUAAGUAUUCUAUACAUUUAUUGAUGUAUUUCUGAAAUAUUUUUACUCAUUUAAUUGUAGUCUGUUGUGAAUGUUUCAUUUCUUUGUUCCUUGUUCAGUAGGCCUCCAAGCACAAAUGUUACCUUUUGACUAAUACACACAGUUUAGAAAUAUUUUUAAGGGGAGGGGAGAUUGUAAAACUAAAUCUGGCUACAAAUUCUGAAAAAGCAAAGUAAUGUAGGAGAACACUGCCAGUUUAGAAGGCAGUAACUAGAUUUGCUAAGAGUAGUUGUUACAAAUUAUCUUAAUAAACCUCAGCUAUUCCCAAUUUUCUCUAAGUAGAAAUGCUGAGAUGUGAGAUCAGGGUGUCAGUGAAUCUUUAAGCAGUCAGACUUUAGAGAUGAAGGUCUUGUGUAGCAGAAAUGCUAAGUCAUGUCUUGAACUAGUGACUGAGCACCUGGUGGGAAGUCAGGGCUAAUCCAGGGGAGCUCAGGU